AAUCAACGCUGGCGGCGCGCCUAACACAUGCAAGUCGAACGCGAAAGCCCCGCAAGGGGCAAGUAGAGUGGCAGACGGGUGAGUAACACGUGGGUGACCUGCCUUCGAGCGGGGGAGUAACGUCCCGAAAGGGACGCUAAUACCGCAUGACAUCCUGCCUUUGAAGAGGUGGAGAUCAAAGCCGGGGAUCGCAAGACCUGGCACUCGAAGAGGGGCCCGCGCCUGAUUAGCUAGUUGGUGGGGUAACGGCUCACCAGGGCAACGAUCAGUAGCCGGCCUGAGAGGGCGGACGGCCACACUGGGACUGAGACACGGCCCAGACUCCUACGGGAGGCAGCAGUGGGGAAUUGUUCGCAAUGGGCGCAAGCCUGACGACGCAACGCCGCGUGGAGGAUGAAGGUCCUUGGAUUGUAAACUCCUGUCNGCAGGGAAAAAGCGAACCUGACCUCAUACGUCAGGAAGUUGAUUGUACCUGCAGAGGAAG
rnacentral:rRNA from 1 species